GUCCCUGUGGCUCAGUUGGUAAAGCAUGGUGUUUGCAACGCCAGGGUUGUGGGUUCGAUUCCCACGGGGGACC
rnacentral:tRNA from 1 species